rnacentral:rRNA from 1 species
AGUGAACGCUGGCGGCGUGCUUAACACAUGCAAGUCGACCGAGAACGGGUUAUAGCUUGCUAUAAUUGUCAGCUAAGUGGCGCACGGGUGAGUAAUGUAUAGGUAAUAUGCCUCUUACUAAGGGAUAACAAAUGGCAACGUUUGCUAAUACCUUAUACUCCUUAUUAACAUAAGUUAAUAAGGGAAAGAUUUAUUGGUAAGAGAUUAGCCUGUAUUGUAUCAGUUAGUUGGUGGGGUAAUGGCUUACCAAGACUAUGACACAUAACUGGUUUGAGAGGAUGAUCAGUCACACUGGAACUGAGACACGGUCCAGACUCCUACGGGAGGCAGCAGUGGGGAAUAUUGCACAAUGGACGAAAGUCUGAUGCAGCAACGCCGCGUGGAGGAUGACACAUUUCGGUGCGUAAACUCCUUUUAUAUGAGAAGAUAAUGACGGUAUUAUAUGAAUAAGCACCGGCUAACUCCGUGCCAGCCGCCGCCGUAA